CAGUCGCCACGGGAAUACGGAGGGAGCUAGCGUUGUUCGGAAUUACUGGGCGUAAAGCGCGCGUAGGCGGUUACUUAAGUCAGAGGUGAAAGCCCGGGGCUCAACCCCGGAACUGCCUUUGAAACUAGGUGACUAGAAUCUUGGAGAGGUCAGUGGAAUUCCGAGUGUAGAGGUGAAAUUCGUAGAUAUUCGGAAGAACACCAGUGGCGAAGGCGACUGACUGGACAAGUAUUGACGCUGAGGUGCGAAAGCGUGGGGAGCAAACAGGAUUAGAUACCCCUGUAGUCCCUGUCUCUUAUAC
rnacentral:rRNA from 1 species